rnacentral:rRNA from 1 species
UUGAACGCUGGCGGCAGGCCUAACACAUGCAAGUCGAACGGUAACAGGAAGCAGCUUGCUGCUUUGCUGACGAGUGGCGGCCGGGUGAGUAAUGUCUGGGAAACUGCCUGAUGGAGGGGGAUAACUACUGGAAACGGUAGCUAAUACCGCAUAACGUCGCAAGACCAAAGAGGGGGACCUUCGGGCCUCUUGCCAUCGGAUGUGCCCCGAUGGGAUUAGCUUGUUGGUGGGGUAACGGCUCACCAAGGCGACGAUCCCUAGCUGGUCUGAGAGGAUGACCAGCCACACUGGAACUGAGACACGGUCCAGACUCCUACGGGAGGCAGCAGUGGGGAAUAUUGCACAAUGGGCGCAAGCCUGAUGCAGCCAUGCCGCGUGUAUGAAGAAGGCCUUCGGGUUGUAAAGUACUUUCAGCGGGGAGGAAGGGAGUAAAGUUAAUACCUUUACUCAUUGACGUUACCCGCAGAAGAAGCACCGGCUAACUCCGUG